rnacentral:lncRNA from 1 species
CAGGACUCCCCUUGCUGUCCAGACAUAGGCUCUCCUACCUGCUUCCAACUUCAGUUCUGUGGCAUUUCCAGGAAAUAUGGGUAGUUAACACAUAACCAUGCUCAAUGAGAGCCAACCUGUGGCUGUGCGGCCCUUUCUCGGCACGUGGCCCAAGCCUGUGCUGGGUCUACGCAGUGAAGUACAAGAUUUAUCUUAAUUCCAAGGCCAGAAUUCAGGUACCAGAAAUGGGUACUUUGCCCAGAUCAUCCCUGACAAAAAUAUUUGCCUAUUAACACAGUCUUACUACAACUAAAUAGAAAACAAAAACUGUUGACCUAUAAGAUAAAUGAAUCUUUCAAAGCAUUAUUUGGUUGCUCUACCUGAAGAAUACUAAAUUGUAACCCAGUCAUCCAGCAUGAGCCUCUACCUGUAAACCUCGAAGGCUUAUUCCUGCCUAGAGCCCCAGGGAAGCAGCUUCCACCUCCACAUUCCAAGCUGCCAUGGAAACAACAAUGCUGCCUAUUCCACUACAGGCUUUGCGAGACUCCUCUGAAGACCCCCCUCCAGAGUCCACAGUUGCGAGACUCCUCUGAAGACCCCUCUCCAGAGUCCACAGUUGCGAGACUCCUCUGAAGACCCCUCUCCAGAGUCCACAGUUGACUUCCUCCUCAGAGGCCUACCACAGGAUUAAUUCCUGAAAUCUUUCCCAAAUCCAAACGUUAAGCAUUAUCUAUAUCAGUCAAUGUCCUACUAAAAGUUUCCACUACACAUACUAUAAAUUUUGACUGAUGAAAACUAAAAAUCUAGACGCUUUUAUUAGCUACGUAUA